AUGGCACUGCCCAUGCACAUCAUGGCAGCGCUCCCGCUGCCGGCCUGGGCUAUCAAGACUAUCAAUCGCCACUGCCGUGGAUUUAUUUGGAAGGGGGAGGAGGAGACUAGUGGUGGCCAUUGCCUUAUGCCUUGGAGCAGGGUGUGCAUGCCGCGGGAGCUCGGAGGUUUGGGUGUUUUGAAUAUCAAAUGGUUUGGGUUCGCGCUGUGCUGCAGAUGGCCUUGGUUACGUUGGAGUGCAGAGGAGCGGCCGUGGCAUGGCCUGCCUGAUACUACGGAGAAGGAGGUCCACGCAAUCUUCAAUGUAGCCUGCCGCAUCACGCUCGGGUCAGGAGAGGUAGCCAAGUUCUGGACUGAUAAGUGGUUGGAUACCGGCCGCUCAGCUUGGGUACAUGACAUUGCGGGUGGGCUCUCCCUCCCUGCCAUUGCUCAGUACCUCUCGGUCUGGGAUAUUGCACACGCCACUGUGUUAAAUCCUGAGGCGAGAGACACACCGCGAUGGCUCCUGACGGAAAAUCAGCAGUUCUCUGUCCAAAGUGCAUACCGCCUGUUCUUUCUGGGCAACGUUCGCUUCGACUGUUACAAGCCUAUUUGGAAAUCCAAGGCGCCCCGCGGUAAAUUCUUCAUGUGGCUCGUGGUGCAUCGUCGUUGCCUUACGGCGGACAAUCUGCAGAAAAGAAAUUGGCCUUCCAACGGAGUCUGCCCCUUGUGUCUUCAAGCGCCGGAAGACUGCACCCACUUGUUUCUCCACUGCCGUUUUACACAACAAGUUUGGGCGCGCUUCAGAUCUUGGACAAGUGCCGAUUUCCUCAUCCCCGAUAACACCUUUGCCUCCACUCGGGAGUGGUGGUUGCAGACUAGGGCUGUCAUUCCCAAGCACAUCCGAAGGAAUUUUGACACGGUGGUGAUCUUGAUGCAUUGGAGGAUAUGGAAAGAGAGAAACUCCAGGAUCUUUGACCAGGUGGCAGCUUCGCCAUCCGGCGUUCUGGAACGGGUAGUAGAAGAUGUGGCCAUGUGGAGGGCCGCCGGAUGCAUCGUUGAUCUGCCAACUUAG
rnacentral:rRNA from 1 species